AAAAAAAGUCAAAGGUGGCAUUUGAAAAGGCACUCACAACUUUUUUGAAAACACGGUUUACACAGUAGGAUUAUGAUGUAAAACAGACGCUGGCAGCUUCAAAAAAGACGUCAAGUGUAAACAUAGCCAAAGUGUCUGUGUAAAACAGCCAGAG